rnacentral:misc_RNA from 1 species
GUUCAGGUUGCCACAUCUGAGACAUGGUAGAAGUACAUGAGAUUUUAAGAAGAAUGCUAUAUUAGAUGAUUUUAUCUUACACAAGUAUUAGAAAAUAAUAAAAAUAAAAUCAAAUUGUAAAAACUUAUGUUUUAUCAGUCUACUCUGCAGCGAUGGGACAUAAUCACAUAGCAAACUCUAAUUCUAAAAUAAAUUCAAACUCAAUGUUAAGACCUAGUACAAUUGCAAGGGAGAAACAUCGAGAAAAAUGCUCUUAAAGACAAAGAAAAAGCAAACUCUAAUUCUUAUAUAAAUUUAAACUAAAUGUUAAGAUCUAGUACAA